UCAAGAUUAUUCCCUAUCUCUUAGCUUCUUUCUCUACAAUUUAGUUAUAACCCUAUCAGUUUUAUUAAAUUUGACUUUUCUGUUGACUAUUUUAUUCUUGUUUUGAUGAUUAAUUUACAGGCAACAGAUGAUUUAAUGGAUGUAUACAAUAGACUGCAGCAAGAAAAAGAGACUCUCAACUAAAAAGCUAUGAAAACCCUACAUCAACAUCUUACUUAUGAAAAUAUGGAACUAAAAGCAAAAGGACAAAAGGUAAUCCAGAAUUAUAAAUUUCUAAGGAUCCCAACUGGUUUUUAUUUGUGUAUAUUUAAUGAAGUGGAGAAGAUGAAGGGUAAUUUUGUCAUUUCACAUUCACUUAACGGAGAAAACUAACGGACAUCCACUCUAGGACUAUCCGAGUAACAAACUGUCAAUCCACAGGGCGCACCGGUGUAAUUUCCAAAAAUUGGGGACUAUAGGUGUUAUUUUGCAAAACCACAGGGACUAUCCGUGCAUUUUACUCAUCAAAUUAUUUAUAGCUUCUUUGAUAAGGUUUUAAACUUACAUUCUUAGGGCAUGUUUGGCUAAGCUUUUUGAACCAACUUAUUGACUUAUUGGCUUUUUCAAAAAGCCAAUAAGUCAAAAUAUUGUUUGGCUAAUUGAAAAGUCUUUUUCAAAACGACUUUUCAGUAGGGAGAAAAAGUCAUUUUUGAAAAGUCAGAAAUUUGUGACCUUUUAGAGCUUUUCAACACAAUUACAAAUUUACCCCCUACCAAACAACUUUUUUACCCCCUAC
rnacentral:lncRNA from 1 species